AUUGAACGCUGGCGGCAUGCCUUACACAUGCAAGUCGAACGGCAGCACGGGGGCAACCCUGGUGGCGAGUGGCGAACGGGUGAGUAAUACAUCGGAACGUGCCCAGUAGUGGGGGAUAGCCCGGCGAAAGCCGGAUUAAUACCGCAUACGACCUACGGGUGAAAGCGGGGGAUCGCAAGACCUCGCGCUAUCGGAGCGGCCGAUGUCAGAUUAGGUUGUUGGUGGGGUAAAAGCCCACCAAGCCGACGAUCUGUAGCUGGUCUGAGAGGACGACCAGCCACACUGGGACUGAGACACGGCCCAGACUCCUACGGGAGGCAGCAGUGGGGAAUUUUGGACAAUGGGCGCAAGCCUGAUCCAGCCAUGCCGCGUGCGGGAAGAAGGCCU
rnacentral:rRNA from 1 species